GGGGGGGGGGGGGGGGGGGGUGAACAGAGGCGAGGCGAGGGGAAGGGCCCUGCGGUUGUGGGGCGCGCGAGGGGCGAACGGGUGAGUAACACGGGAGUAACCUGCCCUUGACUUUGGGAUAACUUCAGGAAACUGGGGCUAAUACCGGAUAGGAGCUCCUGCUGCAUGGUGGGGGUUGGAAAGUUUCGGCGGUUGGGGAUGGACUCGCGGCUUAUCAGCUUGUUGGUGGGGUAGUGGCUUACCAAGGCUUUGACGGGUAGCCGGCCUGAGAGGGUGACCGGCCACAUUGGGACUGAGAUACGGCCCAGACUCCUACGGGAGGCAGCAGUGGGGAAUAUUGCACAAUGGGCGGAAGCCUGAUGCAGCAACGCCGCGUGCGGGAUGACGGCCUUCGGGUUGUAAACCGCUUUCGCCUGUGACGAAGCGUGAGUGACGGUAAUGGGUAAAGAAGCACCGGCUAACUACGUG
rnacentral:rRNA from 1 species